UACGUAGGGGGCAAGCGUUGUCCGGAAUCAUUGGGCGUAAAGGGCGUGUAGGCGGCCCGGUAAGUCCGCUGUGAAAGUCGGGGGCUCAACCCUCGAAUGCCGGUGGAUACUGUCGGGCUAGAGUGCGGAAGAGGCGAGUGGAAUUCCUGGUGUAGCGGUGAAAUGCGCAGAUAUCAGGAGGAACACCGAUUGCGAAGGCAGCUCGCUGGGACGUCACUGACGCUGAGACGCGAAAGCGUGGGGAGCAAACAGG
rnacentral:rRNA from 1 species